rnacentral:rRNA from 1 species
AUAGCUGGUUCUCCCCGAAAUAGCUUUAGGGCUAGCCUCAAGGUGAGAGAUACGGAGGUAGAGCACUGAAUGUCCUAGGGGGUAUUGAACCUACCGAAGACUAUCAAACUCCGAAUGCCGUCAUCUUAUACUUGGGAGUCAGACUGUGGGUGAUAAGAUUCAUAGUCGAAAGGGCAACAGCCCAGAUCGUCAGCUAAGGUCCCUAAAUGUAAGUU